UAGGGAAUCUUCCGCAAUGGGCGAAAGCCUGACGGAGCAACGCCGCGUGAGUGAUGAAGGUCUUCGGAUCGUAAAACUCUGUUAUUAGGGAAGAACAAAUGUGUAAGUAACUAUGCACGUCUUGACGGUACCUAAUCAGAAAGCCACGGCUAACUACGUGCCAGCAGCCGCGGUAAUACGUAGGUGGCAAGCGUUAUCCGGAAUUAUUGGGCGUAAAGCGCGCGUAGGCGGUUUUUUAAGUCUGAUGUGAAAGCCCACGGCUCAACCGUGGAGGGUCAUUGGAAACUGGAAAACUUGAGUGCAGAAGAUGAAAGUGGAAUUCCAUGUGUAGCAGUGAAAUGCGCAGAGAUAUGGAGGAAAACCAGUGGCGAAGGCGACUUUCUGGUCUGUAACUGACGCUGAUGUGCGAAAGCGUGGGGAUCAAACAGG
rnacentral:rRNA from 1 species